rnacentral:rRNA from 1 species
GACGAACGCUGGCGGCGUGCUUAACACAUGCAAGUCGAACGGAAAGGCCCUGCUUUUGUGGGGUGCUCGAGUGGCGAACGGGUGAGUAACACGUGAGUAACCUGCCCUUGACUUUGGGAUAACUUCAGGAAACUGGGGCUAAUACCGGAUAGGAGCUCCUGCUGCAUGGUGGGGGUUGGAAAGUUUCGGCGGUUGGGGCUGGACUCGCGGCUUAUCAGCUUGUUGGCGGGGUAGUGGCUUACCAAGGCUUUGACGGGUAGCCGGCCUGAGAGGGUGACCGGCCACAUUGGGACUGAGAUACGGCCCAGACUCCUACGGGAGGCAGCAGUGGGGAAUAUUGCACAAUGGGCGGAAGCCUGAUGCAGCAACGCCGCGUGCGGGAUGACGGCCUUCGGGUUGUAAACCGAUUUCGCCUGUGACGAAGCGUGAGUGACGGUAAUGGGUAAAGAAGCACCGGCUAACUACGUG